GGCGGACGGGUGAGUAACACGUGGGCAACCUGCCUGUAAGACUGGGAUAACUUUCGGGAAACCGGAGCUAAUACCGGAUAAUGCAUAACCUCUCAUGAGGCUAUGCUGAAAGAUUGGUUUCGGCUAUCACUUACAGAUGGGCCCGCGGCGCAUUAGCUAGUUGGUGAGGUAACGGCUCACCAAGGCAACGAUGCGUAGCCGACCUGAGAGGGUGAUCGGCCACACUGGGACUGAGACACGGCCCAGACUCCUACGGGAGGCAGCAGUAGGGAAUCUUCCGCAAUGGACGAAAGUCUGACGGAGCAACGCCGCGUGAGUGAUGAAGGUUUUCGGAUCGUAAAACUCUGUUGUUAGGGAAGAACAAGUGCCGGAGUAACUGCCGGCACCUUGACGGUACCUAACCAGAAAGCCACGGCUAACUACGUGCCAGCAGCCGCGGUAAUACGUAGGUGGCAAGCGUUGUCCGGAAUUAUUGGGCGUAAAGCGCGCGCAGGCGGUCUCUUAAGUCUGAUGUGAAAGCCCACGGCUCAACCGUGGAGGGUCAUUGGAAA
rnacentral:rRNA from 1 species